GGGACCAAGGGACUGGGAGGCGGAUCGGGGCUGGGCUCAGGGGCCAAGAGGGAGCUGGGCUUGGGGCGGGGCCGAGACGGAGCGAGGGGUCCAGGGUGUGAGAAACGGGGAGGGGCUUGAGGAGGGGAUUGGAGUGUGGCUCAAGUUCGGGAGGCGUUACCUGCGGAGGGUUUGAGGCAGGCCCAGGAGCGAGCCCACGGUCUGCUGACGCGGGGCCAGCGGCGGGCCCCAGGAUCCGGAGCUUCGGGCGGGGUUGAGUCCAGCUGUUGUUCCCCACCAGAACCAAAUGAGCGCAAGAUCUGACAAAGAAAAAAAAAGGCAGGAAUCGGAGUGCCGUAGUACAAUCACAGCUCACUGCAGCCUCAAACUCCUGGGUUCCAGCGAUCCUCCCGCCUCAGCCUCCCCAGUAGCUGGGGCUACAGACAUGUGACACUACAUCCAGCUAAUUUAUUGUAGAGACAGGGUCUCACUAUGUUGCCCAGGCUGGUCUCAAGCUCCUGGCCCCAAGUGAUCCUCCUACCUCGUCCUCCCAAAGUCCCAAGUAUGAACCACGGUGCCCAGGUGGUUCAUUACACGCUCCUUUUUGCAUGUAAUUGCUUUAAGCGCUCGUUAGAUCACUGGACAGUAUCCAAGUCUCUCCUGGCAAAAGGAAAGAUAGCCAGUGUUUGUAAACAACCCACAAAAGAAGGCAACAACAAAUUCUGAGAUGAUUUUAUUCUUCGUUUGUAUUACCCAGAUUGAAGGGGUUUGAAGUCUUGAGAAUUUGCAAUCUCGUUUCAGACUCUCCCCUCUCCUUUUUUCAGCAUCGAGUGAACAGCAGGGUUUUGCUUCUCCCCUAUGAAGAGAUUUCUGUGCUAUUGAAGGAGGGCAGAUUUCCGUAUCUGGAAGGGGCAUCUUGGGGGCAGUCUGUACACAGUGAUUUCCUUAGGACCGGAAGGAUUACAGCCCGACUUUCUCUAUAGAGCAACUUCCCUUUGCCUAAAAGGCACUAUGUCAAAUGUUACCAGCAGGUCGAGGGAUUCCCUACCUCGCGUGCUAUCUGUUUGGAGCUGUUGGAAUCUUGUUCCUGGGGCUCCAAAGCUGCUGGGAAACAGGAUUGUUCUGCUUGAAUUCCCUCCUCCCCACCAUGAGACCACUUUUUGAUUCUUUUCUAUCUCAGGACAGAGCAGACUCUGCUGACAGUUUUCUGGCAGCUGUUUUUGUGUCUCACCUGGCUGCUGGUCGUAAGAGCUCAUAAGCAUUUCCUGGGUGACUGCCAGGGAGCCGUUGUGGGUUUGGGGGUGACUCCCAGGAGCUUACACACGAAUGGGUAGAUGUGGAUGCUGUUAAAAGGCUCGGCCAGGCGAUUCCUCUUGAAAUCUGGCCCGAAAUCUCUGAAUAUGGUCUUCAUAUCCAUGAGGACAUUAUCAAAGCCAUGGCUGCCUUUGUUGAAACACAUUAUAAUUCUCUGAAAAAUAAUAACAAUAAAAAAGCCAUUUUAGAUUCCAAUCCGCUGAAAGAAAACUGUCCCUUAGUUAAUGUCAUGCUUGUUGGAUCCAUGAAGUCUUUGAGAAUUUAAACUACAAGGACACUGCUCUCUGUGGUGGUGGAGAGAAUACCAAGGAUUUAAAGGUCUUUAAGAAAGAGAACGUAGAAAGCGUACCCAUUGGAAACAGCAAGAUGAUGAUAAUAGUACUGACAGUAAUAAUAAGCUCAAAUAUAUGGAGCUUACUAUGUAUCAUGAAUUGUUCUGAAUGCUUCAUAAAUAUACGUUCCCUCCUUUACCCUCAUGGCAGCCCAGUAAAGGCGCCAUUCCCCAUUUUACAGCUGGGGAAACUGAGUUACAGAGCUUGUCUGCACUGAAUCAACAGGAGCAAAUGCUAGAUCAGGUAAUUGAACCCAAGCAAUCCGGUUCCAGAGCCAAAUAGAUGUAUUUUUUAUGGUAUAAAUACACAUACAUACAUUUUUAGGGGAAGGGUGGGGGUAGGAUGGGAUGAGGAUUCUGGGUAAUUGCUUGAUAAAUGCCAAAAACCUUUCUUGUCUCUCCCUCUUUUCAAAUGAUAAAGAAAUGUCAAUUGCAACACUUUUUUUUUUUUUUGAGACAAGGUCUAGCUGGAGUACAGUGAUGCAGUCGUAGCCCACUGCAGCCUCAAAUUCCUGGGCUCAAGCAAUCCACCCACAUCAGCUUCCCAAGUAGUUGGGACAACAGGCCCACACUACUAUGCCCAGCUAAUUAUUUUAAUUUUUGUAGAGAUGGCAGGUGGCGGUGAGGGGCGGGCUGUUUUGCUAUGUUGCCCAGGCUGGUCUCAAACUCAACCUCAAGUGAACCUCCUGCCUCAGCCCCACAAAGCUCUGGAAUUAUAGGCAUGAGCCACUGUGGCUGGCUACAAUACUAUUUAUUUAUAUUUUAGACCAACAGAUAUUCUAGCAUAUAAGAAAUGUGAUGCUCUCUGUACAUUGAAGAGUUGGUCUAAUAUUUGUCCUGGUGGAUACAGAAAUUGCCUGUCUGCUCCGCUCUGGUUGAAGAAACCAGUCCGACUGUCUCUGAGGCUAUGGAGUGGUCCAUCAAGAAUGAAAGCCCUCAGCCGGCACGUUGGCUCACACCUGUAAUACCAGCGCAUUGGGAGGCUGAGGCAGGUGGAUCACUUGAAGUCACGAGUUCGACACCAGCAUGGCGUACAUGGUGAAACCCUGUCUCUACAGAAAAUAGAAAAAUUAGCUGGGCCUAGUGACGUGUGCCUGUAAUCCCAGCUACUGAGGAGGCUGAGGCAGGAGAAUCACUUGAUCCUGGGAGGCAGAGGUUGCAGUGGGGAGCUGAGAUCACACCACUGCAUUCCAGCCUGGGUGACAGAGUGAGACUUUCUUAAAAAAAAAAAAAAAAAAAAGAAUGUCCUCAUGAUGGCCUCAAGCACAUUGGUCCCUGAAGAGAGUCAAGGAAGGCCCACUUUACUCUGCACUGCAAAGCAGGCAGGUGGACAGGAUGAGAAGUGGAUUCAAUGAGAGGCAUUGACUCAAAGGAUUUUCUGCCUAAUGAUCGGUUCAGCAGAAGAUUAAACUGAGCACAGCAUCCUGUUCCCUCAAACUAUCUGGUUGGUCAGUGGGGAAUGUUCUUGUCUCAUUAAAUGUCCUCAUGCUACUGUCAAGAUAUCCUGUUACAAAACAUCAUAAACCAGGUUUAC